rnacentral:rRNA from 1 species
AUGCCGGCGCUGCCUCGGGAGGAGCUCCCCCAACCACCUGCCUCGGGAGCCCCGGCCUACGGUCCGACCUCGGGAGCGCGCCUACUCUUGGCGCUUGAGCCUCACGAUGGGUGCUGGACCAAGGAGUUCAAGGAAUACCUGAUGCAAGGGACACUGCUGGAGAAGGAGGAGGACGCGAAGCGCGUGGCUCGGCAGGCCACGGCGUACUGCAUCCAGGACGGGGAGUUAUACAGGAAGCGGCCGAAUGACGUUUCCCUGCGUUGUAUCUCCAGGGAACAGGGGAAAGAGCUGCUAGCUGACAUACACGGCGGGGACUGUGGGCACCACUCGUCGUCACGAACCCUCGCCGGCAAGGCGUUCCGCAAUAGGUUCUACUGGCCUAUGACGCUCAACGAUGCGACUGAGCUGGUGAAGUCCUGUGAGGCCUGUCAAUUCCACGCCAAACAGAUCCAUCUGCCAGCUCAGGGCCUCCAAACUAUCCCACUCUCGUGGCCAUUCGCGGUCUGGGGGCUGGAUAUCUUGGGCCCGUUCCCUCGAGCGCCUGGGGGCUACCGCUACCUCUACGUCGCCAUCGACAAGUUCACCAAGUGGGCGGAGGUAGAAGCCGUCCGCACCAUCCCGGCCGGAUCCGUGGUCAAGUUCAUCAAGGGUCUCGUGAGCCGAUUUGGGGUCCCCAACCGCAUCAUCACCGAUAACGGCUCGCAGUUCACUAGCAAUCUCUUCAAGACAUAUUAUGCUAACCUUGGAACGUAG